UACGUAGGGUGCAAGCGUUGUCCGGAAUUAUUGGGCGUAAAGAGCUCGUAGGCGGUCUGUCACGUCGGACGUGAAAAUCCAGGGCUCAACCCUGGACCUGCGUUCGAUACGGGCAGACUAGAGUUCGGUAGGGGAGACUGGAAUUCCUGGUGUAGCGGUGAAAUGCGCAGAUAUCUGGAGGAAUACCGGUGGCGAAGGCGGCAUCCUGGACCAUUACUGACGCUGAGGCGCGAAAGCUAGGGGAGCAAACGGGG
rnacentral:rRNA from 1 species